GGCCUCGCGUGCAGCUUGCAUGCCUGCAGGUCGACGAUUUUCUGGUUGAUCCCGCCGGACCCUCCUGCUAUCGGGAUGAGACUAAGGCAUGCUAGUCUGGCGCCUUCUAGCCAUGGUGAAGGCGCGGCGUACAGCUCAUUAACACGUGGCUAACCUACCCUUGGGACGGAAACAACCCCGGGAAACUGGGGCUAAUUUCUGAUAGGUGAGGAUUCCUGGAAUGGUUCCUCGCCCAAAGGGCGUCUAGACCACGCUUUUGGACGUUGCCCAAGGAUGGGGCCGCGGCCGAUCAGGUUGUUGGUGAGGCAACGGCUCACCAAGCCUUUAACCGGUACGGGCCGUGAGAGCGGUAGCCCGGAGAUGGGAACUGAGACAAGGUCCCAGGCCCUACGGGGCGCAGCAGCUACGAAAAUUUCGCAAUACGCGAAAGCGUGACGGAGUCAUCCCGAGUGCCGUCCGCUGAGGAUGGCUUUUACCUAGUGUAGAUAGCUGGGGGAAUAAGGAGAGGGCAAGUCUGGUGUCAGCCGCCGCGGUAAUACCAGCUCUCCGAGUGGUAGGGACGCUUAUUGGGCCUGAAGCAUUCGUAGCCGGCUGGGCAAGUCCCCUGUUAAACCCAACGAUUUAAUCGUUGGCCUGCGGGGGAUACUGUCCGGCUAGGGGACGGGAGAGGCCGACGGUAUUCUCGGGGUAGGGGUGAAAUCCUAUAAUCCCGGGAGGACCACCAGUGGCGAGGGCUGUCGGCUAGAACGCGCUCGACGGUGAGGGAUGAAAGCUGGGGGAGCGAACCGGAUUAGAUACCCGGGUAGUCCCAGCUGUAAACUAUACAGGCUAGGUGUUAGGCGGCUACGUGCCGCCUUAUUGCCGCAGGAAGCUGAUUCGACUGUCUCCUGGGAAUACGCCGCAAGGGUGGAAUCUUAAGGAAUUUGGCGGGG
rnacentral:rRNA from 1 species